GCCGGGCGUGGUGGCACACGCUGGUGGUCCCAGCGACUCGGGAGGCUGAGGCAGGAGGAUCACUUGAGCUCAGGACUUCUGGGCUGUAAUGUGCCCAGAUAACUAAGUUCAGCUUCCAUAUGGUCACCUCCCUGAAGCAGGGGGCCACCACAUUGCCUAUGGAGGGGUGAACCAGCCCAGGUCUGAAAUGGAGCAGGCCAGAACUGCUCUGCUGAUCAGAAGCCGUAUCUUGCUUGCGCUGGUGCCCUCCAGCUUGGGCAACACAGCAAGACCCUGUCUCUA
ensembl:misc_RNA Metazoa_SRP Metazoan signal recognition particle RNA